rnacentral:siRNA from 1 species
UUUGAAUGCCACUGGGGACAGU